UUUUUUUUUUACUUCCUCUCAAAGAUCUUAACACAACGUAAAACCAUUUACUAUUACCAGCAAAACAGUAAAAUGUAUUGAAGUCCAAUGCAAGAUGUAACCAAGGUUGGAUUACUAACCUACCCACCACAACAACGGCAGCUUGUAGAUGCAAAAAUUACUAGCCACGUCUAAAAAAAAUAUCAUACACGCUCGUGAGAGAGCAGAGGGCUGAUUUCUCUCUAUCGUUGAAGCUACUACUACGGCGCCAUAACCUUUCUAUGGCUAAUGUUAUAAACUGUGUAUAUUGUCCAUCCAUUUGUUCAUAAUCAUAAAAACUAAAAAUAAAAGAAAAGGUUCCGAGGGAACAGCAGCCAUUUAUGCAUGAAAACAUUUCUUCAGACCUGAUAUGAAGGAAAUACAGUUGUAGCCCAAUAACAGGAACAGAUGAAACCAAAGAUGCAAAGAUCCCUGCCCGCCAUUUGAGCAGGCACAUUUCAACAAAGCCACCUCAAAGUAGCUUCUGAAACAUACGUUCAACCAUACAUAUUGCUGAAAAUUGAGGCAAAGUCACUAGCCAGACGCUGCAUGGCAAUAAUGUGGAUUACAAGCUAAUUGCUUUAUUAAAAGAUUAUACUUGAUGAAAAAAGAAAUAUGAAGUUUAUAUGGCCUCAUCGAAAAUAGAUAAUUACAAGAACAACAAAUUUUCAACUUAAAUAAAAUGAUCUUCUAUUCAUAAUGAUAAACAUUGGCAGAUGCUGUUGGCGCAUACCCAAUAGCUAUAUCCAAAAGAAUACUAAAGCAGCAGAGGAAAUGAAAUAUUUGUUUACCAUCAACACCAAGAGACUAGAAGAGCCAGGUUUCAGGAUCAUAUAAUAUGGCAACCAAAGCUAAAAAGCCCCACACCAUGAGGACACCAAUCACAGCAGUUCUCCACAUGUGGUCCCAGUUCUCAAUUACGGGAACAUCAGCCUCAAAAUUCAGAUGUGGUGAGGGCAGAUCCUCACCAUCACCAACAAAUUCUGUUGAAUCUAUCCUGCCGAUCUCAUUUAUGGCCUGUGGCUGUCGCAUGGCAUGGAUUCUAAUGUUUGAACAUAUGUUGCAAGUGCAGUUGCCACCUAGAUAUGAUGGGAGAUUCUGAAGAUAAUCGAAAAUAACCCUGUGGUACUUCUUUCCCUCAAUUCUCAACUUCUUUCGAGUGAUGGGUUUCAGAACUUGAAUAAAAGUUUGAGCAAUAACUCGAACAACCGGAGGAAGCCGUAUAACAAGCAAAUGGCCAAGACGAUUGGGGAAGUUAUCUUGCAGGAGCAAAGAACAGGAUCUCAUCAUCUGCAUAGGAAGUCUCAAUGGUGAUAUCCCAUCACAAUCCACAAGAACUGUAAUCUGAGGAUUAUCCUUGCUAACCAAAUGAAGAACUCCAUGCUCUACCUGAGAGAUGACUGCUUGUGCAAAGCGAGGUCUCUCAUGAAAUGGCAAAUUGAGGCAAGCUAGUCCAAGGCGUACAAUGAGGCAAGGCCUGUUCUCCACAUCAAAUCCAUGCCAGAAAACCAUAUUUGACCACAUAUCAAGCUCUUGUUCUGAAAGAAUUCUGUAAGUCUCCCUCCAACGGAUUGUCUUCUUAAUUGAUGAUAAGAAGCAUGAUAAAUCCCCAUUUGCAGCAGCAAAAAAUCUAUGGAGCUCAUCCUCAUUAAUUCUUUCUGGUAAUGUCAUGCCUUGGUUUUCUAGCUCUUUGAGGAGUUGCAUCAACCAAUUUUCAGAUUCAAUACUUUGAGCAUUCUCAUCAGUAGUCCUUGAUGGAGGUGGUGAUUACUUUGAUUCUCGCGAUGGUGAUUGGUGAGCUAGAGCCAUUUACCAUAGGGAUGAAAUGCUGCAAUGAUGGGAGCGAUGUCUGAAGCAACAGAUGGAUCUUAAAUUCGAGCGUAUCGAGAGACACUUUGAAAAAAUUGUAGAUCAUUUUGAUGCUUUGAUAAUCAAUACAAACAGGGAUUAGUAUGAUUAAUCGAUGAUAGAAGGCCAAGGAUAAAGUUAGCUCAUGGUGACCCUGUCAACAAAGCUUUUUCUGCAUGUAGGCAAUAUAUCUACGAGUAUGACUAGGAGAGGAAGAUGACUAUAAACCAAAUAAGUUCUAUAGACAUCCACAUAACCAUAAUUAUCAAAGGCUCAAGGCACACUAAGAUGCCAAGGGGUCCUGGAUCCAGCGUAAGGCACAAGGUGCAAGCGGGCGCCUAAGCGAGGUGAAGCACAGGGAAAAAAAAAAAUCAAAGUCAAAUAAAUGUGAAUAUUCCAUCAAAUUUCAAAUAACAUGAAAUUAAAAAAUAAUAAUAACUAAUAAGCAAUCAAGUAAUAAUAAUUUUGCAUUCCAAAUAAAAUAAAAAUAAACUUGCUAAAAGUUUUAGUUUGAUGAGAUUUUGAUCGCUAGUUAUCACUAGCGAUACUAAUUCUGAAAACUUCCUAGUGCGUUAAUAUAGGAUUCUGAUGGAUCGACAAAUAUCAAAUUUAAGUGGUAGUGUUUUUUGCCAACGGAAGUGUUCGCCAAAGGUGGAAAUAAAGAAGACUUGGUUUUCCAGAGCCUUGUGCUUGGAAGAAGGGCACAUGUCUAGGUGCAUAAAGCAUUAGGGUUGAAGCCUGGUGAGCGUUGAGCUUGAGGUGCACCUUUAAUAACUAUGGCAAGCAUGCUACUGACAUUUAUUAGACAGCCCUCU
rnacentral:misc_RNA from 1 species